GACAGAGGAUGCAAGCGUUAUCCGGAAUGAUUGGGCGUAAAGCGCGCGUAGGUGGCCAUGUAAGUCCGCUGUGAAAGUCAAAGGCUCAACCUUUGAAAGCCGGUGGAUACUGCAUGGCUAGAGUACGGAAGAGGCGAGUGGAAUUCCUGGUGUAGCGGUGGAAUGCGCAGAUAUCAGGAGGAACACCAAUAGCGAAGGCAGCUCGCUGGGACGUUACUGACACUAAGGCGCGAAAGCGUGGGAGCGAACAGGA
rnacentral:rRNA from 1 species